UUUGUUAUCUUAUUCGGGUAACAUAGAGCCAAAUGGCGCAAGGUUGGCAUAUCAUCAUCUGAUGAAAGUGCAGCACUGCCGCUGUUUCCACACUAAGAAUACUCAUAACCUAUCCCAACCUGAGUGGAUAUAUAAAUUCAGAGGGAAAAAUCACAAACUAUACUAUACCGAUACAGCUAGAUAUCAAGAUUCUCAGGACACGAUGUCUAAACUAAAUUACCCAACAGACAGUUUGAAUCAUGAAUAGAAUAUAGUUAACAUAACCCCCCAUGCAAACGGUCAUCAUGUAUCAGCUAGUAAGAAAGGAGGGAACAAAUCUUGAUUAACAGAACAAUGGAGCACCAUCUUUAGAGAUUGUACAAACUGUAAAACAAAACAAAAAAAGAAAUCGGUCAGAGUAAAAAAACAUGACUGGAUAUAUAUACAGCUGGAUAUCAAGAUUCUCUGGAGAAAUGCUUAAACUAAAAUACUAAUAAAAAACGAAUCAUGGGCCAUUCAAAAACAACUUCAUAUAGAUAUAUACCCAACAAAGAGUUUGAAUCAUGAAUAUGCAACACACAUCGCUGACAUGACCCACCAUGCAAACGAUCAUCAUAAAUAUCUUUGGAACCCACAACUCAACAUAAAGAUGACAAAGACAAACAUGUAUACCAAAUAGCAUCUGAAAACAUAUCAGGGAAGAUAAUUUUCUGGCAGAACCAAGCAUGCGUAUGCAACUAUCUAAAUAUAUGUGUUAAACAGCCACUGGAAACAUUGCUAUAGAACAGACCGGAUAAAGCAAUUUCCACACAGAACAAUGCAUGCAUGUUUGCACAACCAAUCAAACACAUGUAUAGAAUAGAUACUGACAAACAAUUAGUCUAGAAAGACUAACUAUGCCGGAGCAAGUUGAUCAUGAAACUCCGUACCAAGACAUCUCCAGAUUUUUCCGGAAAUGAGAGUUCAGUAAGCUACUACCUUCAGCCUCCUAACUGAUUUGAGAGCAGCAUUUAUUAGAUUUUAGAAACCUAAAAGAAACAUUAGGCACAUUUGAAUAAACAUUCAAGAGAAGGGAACUGCAAAACGAAAUUCAGUAAACAGAAACGCCGCUAUAGCUCAUGACUAAAUUGACUCUCUUUCAGAAAAAAGUAGGAAAGUGUAACCACCUUAGUAAAAAAAAAUAGAAUGAGCAUGCUACCAUGCCCUUGCGCAGGUUCAAGCUACAUUCAAAGAAGGGACGUCUAUUGAACAAAAACUGGGUCGACAGUAUUUUGCAAUAGCUAACUAUGCAACUUUUCUCCACAAAUAUGAGAUAAUUUAAAUGGCAAGAUCAUGUUUGUUUUCCCCUUAUUUUCAGUUGGAUUGUAAUAACUCAGCAGCAAAGAGUACACCGCCGUGGUUUAGUCUACCAAUCUGAUUCAAUUCAAGAAUGGGUAGCCUAUUCUCUUGUAUAUGUCAGCAAGCUCUUUUUUGUACUCAAGUCAAAACUAAGCAUAAAUACCUACUCACCUACAUAAGUUGCUGUUGCACAUGCCCAUGUAUUUGGUGCAAGUUGAGGCCUCCUUUAAGUAACAUUAUGACCACUCUUCAUACCUACAAACACCAUCAAAGUAUGAAGUCAAAGCGAGGUGGAACCGUGUAAGGACUAAAGAAAGGGAAAGUGUCCGAUUCAUAAGCAAAGAGAGCAAGAGACCGAACUUUCAGAACAUUUAGGUUUAUUAGUAAGGACAUAGUGGUAACAUUUUCUUAGUAAUUAAGCUCGAUGGAAAUAAAGGUACUUUUCAUGUAUGACGCCCAAAAAAAGUUUAAACAUCUUUUCCUUUUGCUGUACCAUGACCAUACCACAAUGUGAGCUGCAGACAGGGAAAAGUUCAGAUCCAAAAUCAUAUCUAAUAGAUAUGUUUGUACAUUAAGGAAAAGAAAAACAUUACUCGUAGCAUUCUGCAAAAACACAUUAAGAAAUGGAGCUUUUGGACCAGUGAAUUACACUAGUAUUCUCAAAAUACCACAUCUACAAUCUCACUGGUGAGAACCAGUGCAGGAUUAAGAAAUUAUCUAAGUCUAUAAGCUUUUCAUGAAUGAUGCCAGACUUAUUUUUUUAUUGCAAGAAUCAAUGCUAGCAGGCUGUUUUGUAGAGUUAC
rnacentral:lncRNA from 1 species